CGAACAAACACCCUAUUAUCUUUUCGAGGUGGCCGUUUGGCCCAAUCUUUCAAUUUUCAUUAGGUCUUCUUGGAAAUCCUUCUUUUGAUUCAAAUCUCACGGUUUUCAACAGGAGCUCCGUUAUUCCAUCUGUCCGGGCUAUGAAUCUGGUGGUUGCUGGCCGUCGUCCGUCCCCCGCCGUUGGUCUUGCUUGCUUUGCCUUUCUGGCGCUGUUGAGGCCUCUAGAAGUCAUCAGAGUCCUGUUCUUCCAUCUCCCCAGCUAUGAAUCUGUUUGCUGCCUGCUGUUGGUAUGAAAGCUUCAGUUGGUAGUGAAAUAAUAGCGGGUUUGCUGUAGGCUACGUUGGAGUUUAUGUUGGCGACGAACUUACUGGAGUAUCUGUUAAUAAUUGACCACAGAAAAUUAUACAUUUCCUCAGCAUCUUUUACCCGGUCUUUUUCAAUGGUUUUGCUCGCUUUUGCUCAAUCAGGUGCAAUUUUGUUUUCUUAUCUUAGUUACUUUAUAGUUUCCGUGUUUUGCUUUCUUAUCUUUAGUUAAUUUAUAGUUUACAUGUGUUGGAUAGGAUUUGGGCUAACCUCAUUGGGCUUAUUUUUGGUUAUACUUCCUCUCUUAUGUACAAUAGAGAGUUAAGCUUUCAUAUAAUGGCUGACCAUCACACGCUGGCAACAGAGCCGAUCGACCCGAAUUACCAACCUGUGUGAUUAUGGCUGAUCAUCACAAGCUGCUGUUGCCACCACUGUGCGCCUCCUCCACUGCCCACAACUGCCACUGUCACCCCACACCAUCUGCCCUGUUUCUUGCUGCAUUAUAGCUGCAGUCUGUUUCCUUCCUCAACCAGUUGAUAAUUAUUAUGGGUGUGUUUCUUUUGAGGUAGUUGGUAAAAUUGGGUUUGGGUUUUAUUUGAAUUUUAAGAUAUGUUUGAGUCUUGAUGUUUCUUUUGUGUUUAAGUUUGGUUGGGGUUUGAGGAGUUUUGGUAUAAUUGAUUUGAUAGAGUAAUAAGUAUAAUAAUCUUACCUCUAUUAAUUUAAAAUUUUUAAAAUUAAUAGGGGUAAGAUUUGAUUAUGAAUUUAUAUUAUAUCUACAUAAAUAUUUUUUAAUUUUUAUUUAUUUAUAUUAUAAAAUUUUUUAUUAAAUUAUAAUUAUUACAAAUAUCAAAUUAUAUUUUAAUUUUUUUUUUUAAAAAACAAGAGGGGGGAAAGGCUACUGCUGCAGACGGUGUCGGCUGGCAAGUGACAACCCCAGUUUGGGGGUUUUUUACUGUGUAAAAGUGUUUUGCACAGUAAAAACCCCUUACACUGGGGUUGAAGAAACACACUAUAUCAGCUUUUGCACGGUAAAAAUCCCCCAAAUUAGGGUUGAAGAAACACACUGUAUCGGCUGAGGACAUUGAUUCAUUCUCAAAUUUUCUUCUUUGGAGCUUCUUCAUAUUAUUGUUUAUUCAUCAGAUUCGACUGUCCUUCCUCCAACACCUGCUAUUGCUGUAAGGUAAGUUAUUGGGUAAUUCAAAUUAUUCUUUUUGGUCCAAAGCUGUUGAUAUGUAGUGUAGGGGUAAGUCUUAUUAGAACAUUUUACUACACUGUACAGAUGUGAUUUUGAUCUUUCCGAUGGUAAUGCCAGAAGUUGUUUUAAUAUA